UACGAAGGGGGGCUAGCGUUGCUCGGAAUCACUGGGCGUAAAGCGCACGUAGGCGGAUUGUUAAGUCAGGGGGUGAAAUCCUGGAGCUCAACUCCAGAACUGCCUUUGAUACUGGCGAUCUCGAGUCCGGGAGAGGUGAGUGGAACUGCGAGUGUAGAGGUGAAAUUCGUAGAUAUUCGCAAGAACACCAGUGGCGAAGGCGGCUCACUGGCCCGGUACUGACGCUGAGGUGCGAAAGCGUGGGGAGCAAACAGG
rnacentral:rRNA from 1 species